GAUGAACGCUGGCGGCGUGCCUAAUACAUGCAAGUCGAGCGAACAGACCAGGAGCUUGCUCCUCUGACGUUAGCGGCGGACGGGUUCGUAACACGUGGAUAACCUACCUAUAAGACUGGGAUAACUUCGGGAAACCGUAGCUAAUACCGGAUAAUAUAUUGAACCGCAUUGUUCAAUAGUUAAAGUCGGUUUUGCUGUCACUUAUAGAUGGAUCCGCGCCGCAUUAGCUAGUUGGUAAGGUAACGGCUUAACAAGGCAACGAUGCGUAGCCGACCUGAGAGGGUGAUCGGCCACACUGGAACUGAGACAGGGACCAGACUCCAACAGGAGGCAACAGUAGGGAAUCUUCCGAGAUGAGGGAAAGCGUGACGGAGCAAAGCCGCGGGAGGGAUGAAGGACUACGGAUCGUAAAACUAUGUUGUUAGGGAAGAACAAAUGUGUAAGUAACUAUGCACGUAUUGACGGUACCUAAUCAGAAAGCCACGGCUAACUACGUG
rnacentral:rRNA from 1 species